UACGUAGGGGGCAAGCGUUGUCCGGAUUCAUUGGGCGUAAAGAGCGUGUAGGCGGCCAGGUAGGUCCGUUGUGAAAACUCGAGGCUCAACCUCGAGACGUCGAUGGAAACCAUCUGGCUAGAGUCCGGAAGAGGAGAGUGGAAUUCCUGGUGUAGCGGUGAAAUGCGCAGAUAUCAGGAAGAACACCAAUGGCGAAGGCAGCUCUCUGGGACGGUACUGACGCUGAGACGCGAAAGCGUGGGGAGCAAACAGG
rnacentral:rRNA from 1 species